UGCUUCUCCCUUUUUCUAUCUCCCACUCCUCAGGUCCUGAAGCUUAGUAAUAUAAUACCAAGGUGGAAAUGAACAACACACAGCCCAGCAGAAGAAAGGAACCUAAAGAGGACCCCUGUGGGGAAGGCGGUCAAGACAGGCUAUCCAGGAGAAAAGGCUCUUCCUCCAAAAGGAGGGAGCAGCCACCUGGGUGCCUGAGGGUCAUAAUGAGGCCCCUCUUUAAUGAGAGAACCCCAAGAUGGGCAAGCUGGUGGGAGGGGGCAGAAGAGCCACUCCAAACUCCCAGCCCCUUUGUGGUCUCUAGAACGGAUUGGGAUGUUCUGCUGAACAAGAAAUGAAAGGGCUGUUUUAUACAUAACUUUGAACCAUGUCUGGCUAACUACAUCUGUACUGCCCCCUCCUUCCAAGAUAUUUUCGUAGAGGGAGGCUGUGUGUUGAGGGCUGCAUUCCGGGAUUGGACCCAAGCUGAGGAAUUAGGGGUGCCUUAGAUGAAAAGCACAGACCAGUGGUUCUCAAAGUGUGGUCCUAGGACCAGCACCAUCAGCAUCACUUGGGAACCUGUUAGAAAUGCAAAUUCUGGGCGCCCCACCCCAGACCUGAAUCAGAAACUCUGGGGAUGGGGCUAACAGGCUCUGUUUUAAUAAACCCUGCAGGUGAUUCUAAAGCGCGAGUCUGAGAACCGCCACUAUUGACAGGAGCCACUGACAUCCGCCUUGGCAUCCAAGUUAGCAGAAUGGAGCCUCUAAGCAAAAAGAAGGCACCAGGGGCAGUAGGACACUCAGGAUAUUCUCCGGGGUACAGGCACACGGUGUGCAGCUGCCAUCUGAACCCUGAAACUUCUGGGGUUUUGGCCACAGCGCUGCCAAUGGGAAAGCUACUGACGGGCAGCUCUGCAUGCAGGAUGCUGGCAGCUCGUCAGCCCCACCCAACAGAACUUUGUGUCACCUGGAAAAAACGCAGCAGACCUAAAAAUUUUCAGAAUUAUUUUUUAAUGACAUUCCUCUGUUUUUCUUCCUUUGCUAGAAGUCAAAUUCAAAAACUCCAAAUACCAAAUAGAUUGUUUAAAAAAAUGUUUAGUUUAAGGGCUGGCCCCGUGGCCGAGUGGUUAGGUUCGUGUGCUCCGCUUUGGCAGCCCAGGGUUUCACCAGUUCAGAUCCUGGGCGCAGACAGGGCACCGCUCAUCAGGCCAUGCUGAGGUGGCGGCCCACAUGCCACAACUAGAAGGAUCUACAACUAGAAUAUACAUCUAUGUGCUGGGGGACCUUGGGGAGAAGAAGGAAAAAAGAAAACAAGAGGUUGGCAACAGAUGUUAGCUCAGGUGCCAGUCUUUAAAAAAAGUGUUUAGUUUAAAAAGCCAUCUGAGUCCCAGCCUGAGGUCAGGGGACAAAAAGGGGCUGCAUGGGCCCCUCCAAAGAAGGCUCUGUCCCAUCAGGGAUGUUGGCGAAACCCUGAGGCCUUCUAGCAAGGGGAGACAGAGGCUGGCUGUGCAGCAAGCCAGACCCCGUGCAGUGCUUCCAAGAACAGACUCCACAGUCCUUCUGCAAGACCAGACAAGUUUCUCUCAAUUCCCUGCUCCAGGCUGAGGGAAGCUGAAUCUGAGGACUGGGACCCUGGCGUUUACACUGGCAGAAGCUGGGCUUCUUAAGUGUCAAGUUUCCCAGAGUGAUCCGACUUAUUGACAUUACACUUCAGGAUGCAAACUGAGAGCUCCAAAAAGCUGUGUUUACUUUUUUAGGGUUUCAGCAGCUUUUACACACACACACACACACACAU
rnacentral:lncRNA from 1 species